AAAAUAAUCCUACCCUUUGUGAAUUUUGUUUGUUUGAAUAAUUUUUUUUUUUAAAAAAUUAUUGGAGUCUUUCCCUUUAGAGUUUGCUUUUGAGUUUGUAAAAGAAUUCGAAAACAUCUAAAGGGGAUGGUCAAUAAUUUUUUUGAAAAAAGACAUUUUUUAAAAUUAAACUUUUUGUAUUCGUUUGUCUAAAAAUUAUUUUUAUAAUAUAAAAACAACUUUUGACAAUGGAUCUCUUGGUUCUCGCAACGAUGAAGAACGCAGCAAAAUGCGAUAAGUAGUGUGAAUUGCAGAAUACGUGAAUCAUCGAAUCUUUGAACGCAUAUUGCACUUUUUUAGUUUACUAAAAAAGUAUGUCUGUUUGAGUAUCAGUAAAAUAUUCUCAUAAAAAUCAUUGUGUAUUUUUAUGGUUAUGAGUGUUUUACAACGAUACAAGUUGUUUCACUUUAAAUUUUUUUUUAAUAUUGAAAUUUUUCUAAUUUUAAUAAUUAAAAUUGGAUAAAAUUUUCCCGUCAAAAGGAAUAACCUAAACAAUUUUAAAUGAUUAAUUUUAGCAAAAUUUUCGUAAAAAAGGAAAAUUUUUAUUAAAAUAACUUGAUCUCAAAUCAGAUAAGAGUACCCGCUGAACUUAAGCAUAUCAAUAAGCGGAGGAAAAGAAACUAACAAGGAUUCCCUUAGUAACGGCGAGUGAAGCGGGAAGAGCUCAAAUUUGAAAUCUUCAAGGUUUUACCUUGACGAAUUGUAGUUUAAAGAAGUGUUUUCUGCUGAAGUUUUGGUAAAAGUUCUUUGGAAUAGGACAUCAUAGAGGGUGAGAAUCCCGUAUUUGACCAUUAUUUUCAGCUUUGUGAUACACUUUCAAAGAGUCGGAUUGUUUGGGAUGCAGUCCAAAAUGGGUGGUAAAUUUCAUCUAAAGCUAAAUAUUGGCGAGAGACCGAUAGCGAACAAGUACCGUGAGGGAAAGAUGAAAAGAACUUUGAAAAGAGAGUUAAACAGUACGUGAAAUUGUCAAAAGGGAAGCGUUUGACACCAGUGUUGUUUUCUCGAAAAUCAAUUAAAAAUGGCUCGAUUUUGUAUUGCUGAGACCUUAAAAGCUCACUGAACAUUUUUCGUGUCUUUUUUAAUGCACUUUUCGUUUAACAAGUCAACAUCAGUUUCUUUUGUUGUAAAAGGGUCAUUGGAAGGUGGCUUUCUUUUCGGAGAAAGUGUUUAUAGCCUUUGGCCUCUGCAAUCGAAGAGACUGAGGUCUGCAGCGUAGACUCUUCGGGGUUAGAUACAUUUGUGCUAAGUUAUAGCUUUUUAUAGACAACUUGUUGACUAUAAUUAGUCUUGUAGCUUACUCGCUUAUGCUAUUU
rnacentral:misc_RNA from 1 species